CUCUGUUUGCACAUCCACCCACACCUGUGCACCCUCUGUAGUUCUGCAGCCUGGGGGGCUCUGCUCCCCUGCUGUGGUCCUACGUAUUUACACACACACACUGUAAUAAAGUCCCAGGGAAUGUAUACCGCGUUUAACGCAAUACAAUACAACUUUCAGCAACGGAUCUCUUGGCUCUCGCAUCGAUGAAAAACGCANCGAAAUGCGAUAAGUAAUGUGAAUUGCAAAAUUCAGUGAAUCAUCGAAUCUUUGAACGCACCUUGCGCCCUUUGGCUAUUCCGAUGGGCAUGCCUGUUUGAGUAUCAUGAACACCUCAACUCUCAUGGCUUGCCGUGAUGAGCUUGGACUCUGGGGGUCUUGCUGGCCUGUUGGUCGGCUCCCCUCAAAUGAAUCAGCUUGCCAGUGUUUGGUGGCAUCACAGGUGUGAUAACUAUCUACGCUUGUGGUUUGUCACCAGGUAACCUUCAGCAGAUGGAGGUUCUCUGGAGCUUACAAAAGUCUCUCCUCGGUGAGGACAGCUCUUUGAACAUUUGAUCUCAAA
rnacentral:sRNA from 1 species